GACGAACGCUGGCGGCGUGCCUAACACAUGCAAGUCGAGCGGGGUUCCCUUCGGGGAACUUUAGCGGCGGACGGGUGAGUAACACGUGGGUAACCUGACUCAUAGAAGGGGAUAGCCUCCCGAAAGGGAGAUUAAUACCGCAUAACAUCAAGCUAACGCAUGUUAGUUUGAUCAAAGGAGUAAUCCGCUAUGAGAUGGACCCGCGGCGCAUUAUCUAGUUGGUGAGGUAACGGCUCACAAAGGCGACGAUGCGUAGCCGACGCUGAGAGGGUGAUCGGCCACAUUGGAACUGAGACACGGUCCAGACUCCUACGGGAGGCAGCAGUGGGGAAUAUUGCACAAUGGGCGAAAGCCUGAUGCAGCAACGCCGCGUGAGUGAAGAAGGCCUUCGGGUUGUAAAGCUCUGUCUUUUGGGACGAUAAUGACGGUACCAAAGGAGGAAGCCACGGCUAACUACGUGCCAGCCGCCGCCGUAA
rnacentral:rRNA from 1 species